rnacentral:rRNA from 1 species
UACGUAGGGUGCGAGCGUUGUCCGGAAUUAUUGGGCGUAAAGAGCUCGUAGGCGGUGUGUCGCGUCGGUCGUGAAAACUUGGGGCUUAACCCUGAGCUUGCGGUCGAUACGGGCAUCACUGGAGUUCGGCAGGGGAGACUGGAAUUCCUGGUGUAGCGGUGAAAUGCGCAGAUAUCAGGAGGAACACCGGUGGCGAAGGCGGGUCUCUGGGCAACAACUGACGCUGAGGAGCGAAAGCGUGGGGAGCAAACAGG